GUGGUAUCUACAGUCCACCAUCACUUCAAGCAUUAUGACUAUGGAUAAAAGAAGGUUUCAUUACAUAUGGACAAUUAUACUGGACAAAAUAAGAAGUGUUCUAAUAAGUUCUGGAAUGUGGCUUGUUAUGAUGGGUCUACAUGAUUGACUUGGAGUACAACCUGAUGGGGGCUGGGCUUGCAGGAUUCAGUCCUGAACAUGUUUAGAAUGUCUUCUGCAUGACCUAGUAUAGUAUUCUUGAAGGAUUAUAACUUCAACACAGAGACGGAGAUUAAUAUUUUAGGCAGGGGAUUGGCAUGACAGGCAAAUUCUCCAACUGUAU